CCUCCAGCUGGACGGGGCUCUGGCUCCUGUUCUGCUCAGCGUCAGGUUGAGGAGACACAGGUGGGUCUAGGGGGUCACCAUCCUCUGACUGUUUCCUUUUGCCUUUGACAGGAGGUGCUGGAAGGAGAGGAAGAGGGAGAGAAGGGGGGAGGAGGGAGAGAACGUGAGAUGCUGGCAGGGAGGAGCGGGCGGCAGGAGGGCCAGCCCUCUGCCCACAACUUCGAAGGAAACCCUAAAUCACCUUGGGGUCAAGUGACAGGAGACCGGCACUGGGGCCGUGGUGCUCGGGGAAAUCAUGUCUCCAAAACCUGCCCCACAUUCAGGCAGAAAGUUUGGGAAAGCUGCAGAGGCUUCCAUGAUUGUGGACCCCCAAAGCACCACGGGGGGCUGCUUGGACCAUAAACCCUCCAGAAAUAAUCAAGAAGAGGGUCUCACCUGACAAGUCGCUUCCUCGGGGUGGCCCUUCCCAGCCCCCAGCCAAGCACAGCACUUCUCUCUAGUCAUCCUCUAGCCAUCCUCACACCAUCCAGAUGGGCCAUCCAGACUGAGAUGCCCACGGCUUGUCUGGCCUCCUGAGAGCUUCGUAAGGCCGCCCAGCAACCCACAAAGUAGGUGGCAGAACUGUCCUGGUUCGCUCCAACUCAAGAAAUCCUUACUGCUGGGAACGUGCAAGAGUCCCCCUCCAACCCAGACAGAGAAAGAAUCUCCUUAAGAACAAGAAACCUGCGCCAGAGUGACCCACAAGGUGCUGGGUGAGUCCUCCUGCCUCCCAGAAACCCAGCUGCCGCUGAGUGACCGCUGCUGCCAUGAGCCACUGAGUUCCUGUCUUGCCCCGAGCUUAUGGGUGUAUAGAUCCCCUCUGAGCACAAAGCCUCAGAUGCCCUGUUGUAAUGGAGGUGGAUUCAGUUACAAAAAGAAAACCUCUGCUCUCCAAAGGCAUGCCCUUCAGACAUCGCCUUUUCCAUCCAGGAAGCAAUAAUGACAAUGAUGGUUAUUAUUUAUCUGUUUACUUUAAUCUAUCUGGAAUCUGUAAGGUAUGAGGGGCUUCCCUGGUGGCACAGUGGUUAAGAAUCUGCCUGCCAAUGCAGGGGACAAGGGUUCGAGCCCUGGUCCGGGAAGAUCCCACAUGCCGCAGAGCAACUAAGCCCGUGAGCCACGACUACUGAGCCCUAGUGCCACAACUACUGAAGCCCGCGCGCCUAGAGUCUGUGCUCAACAAGAGAAGCCACCGCCAUGAGAAGCCCACGCACCGCAACGAAGAGGAGCCCCCAUUCGCUGCAACUAGAGAAAACCCGCGUGCAGAAAUGAAGACCCAACACAGCCAAAAAUAAAUAAAUUUAUAAGGUACGAGAUAGGGGUUUAAUCAUACUUCCCCAUGGGUGGGUGGUUCCAGUAUUGACUGAGUGAUCUCCUCCCCCAAUAAUCUGAAAUGCUACUUUUCCCACAAUCUGCAGGCUUGUAAGGAACACUUUGGGGGCUGGUUUUGGACUUUCUCUUCUGCUUGAUUCACUGUGGAAUGCUGGACCCAUGCACAGUUUUAAUUUCUGUAGCCUUGUAACACAACGUGCUAUUCAGAGCAUAAGUCCCCCAUCAUUACU